rnacentral:lncRNA from 1 species
UCUGUCUCCAAACACACAAACAAACAAACAAAAGUCUUAAAUUGAUUAGAGAUCUGGUCACCCCUUUAACCACAUAGGGAAGAGGCAAGGUCAGGGUAGAGGCAAGGGUAUCUGUCCUUCCCAUCUUUUACCCUGGAGCGACUACACACAGGGGCAGGGACCUUGCACGUAGGCCAACAGCCUUCUCGUCUUAAACAAAUCCCUGCCGAUGGGGCCACCAGGCCCUCUGCCCGGCCGCCUGCCUCCAGGCCGUCCCGUCCAGCAACAGAGGCGCCUGGGGCCGGGGAGGUGAGCGGCUUCUCCUUCUGCUUGUGGAGCAAUUUGAGAGUCUCCCUCCUGCUGGAGGGAAGGAAGCCCUUGGUGAGCCCAGAAGCUCUGUUGACAGUAAACAGCCCACAUGCACCCAGCAGAUGCCCAAACAGACACACCCAGGCUGUUCCUCUCCCUCUGGUCCCACCUGGGCCACCGUGGGUCAGGAGAGAGACAAACAGAUUAAGCACCCAGGAAGUGCCAAGGCGUGGGGUGGCCCUCUGCUCCCAGCCUGGAGCUUGACCCCGGGCCAGCCUGCUCUGCUCACCCCCGGCCAGGCUGCUCUGCUCCUCACCUGCACCUGUUUAUUAAACAGAUGCCUCCUCUGGGGUGGCCAGAAGUGGCCCAGCCCAGCCUGGCCAGAGAAGGUGAACUGAGAAGACAGGCAAGAGUUGGUGUGGCCAGUGAGUGCCAAGAACAGGAACAGGGCUGCUUAGGAGGAGACCCAGGGCCAGGGAGGACGUACACCGUUCAGCCCCACUCACAGAAGACGCACAAGAUCUUUACAGAGGAAUCAGGGAGAAAAGAGGGUGCUGUGGCCCCCCAGGCUCCCCUGAGGCAAAGAGGAGCCUCCCCACACCCCGGGGAGACAAAGGGAGGGGGGCCUCCAAGAUGAUGCUUGAGGGGGCCAAGAAGUACCUGGCUUGAGGUCCCCUCUAAAUUCCUGAGCUGCCCCCUUCCCUGACUAGUCGCUUUCCGAGCCCCCCCUCCAGGGUGCGGGCCCCUGGACAGCCCACCGAUGGCCCCUGCCCAGGAUCUCCCGUCUCUCAAAUCCUUAGUCUAUCCGGCAACAGGAAGCAGCAUCUCAGUCCUCAGUCCGGCAGGGGAGAUGUAGGUGAGAGGUCGGCUCAGACACAGAGCAAACAACAGGCAGGAGGGCACGGACAGGCAGAGGCCGUCCUGGGCUGACCAGGGCCUGGCCCCUGAGCAGUGGUCCCAGCAGCGGCUGCCGUGUGUGCAAUGAAAGUGUGUGCCAGCUGCCAUGCUCAACGGGUGUGCCCACGCCCACCCCAUAUUCCCCACGAGGAUACUGUCAGAGUGUCCCCGAGGGAUGCUCAGAGCAGGCUUCCACCUGAACCGCAGAGAGGCCCUCCCACCCAGCAGGAGCCACAUCUCCGCUGCUGUUCUAGCUCCUGGCGCCCUGCUUUCUUGGGGGCCCGACCACCCCCUGGAAUUAUACGGGUUACACAGGUAGCCGCAGCCCCCCAGGCUGACCCUGACCCUGUUGAAGCGGGGGCCACUGGACAACAGAGAAAACGAAGAAAGAGCUCAGGAGUGGGCCGUCACGUUGCCAUCCCAGAGGCCAAGAGGACACAGCUCCAGGAAGCCCCGUGCUUCUCGGGCUGAGAACCCAACUGGUCUCCUGCCCUCACCAGGGGGACGAGGGAGGCAUCCAGCAGCCAACACCUGGAGGACGUUGUGCAAAACCCAUUGCCAACUUCCCGCACCCAGGUCCCCAAACCCAGCCUGCCACGUCUCCCAGCAGGCAAGGAAGAACAAACUGCGGGGCAGCCGAGAAAUGAGCUGUUUCCUUCCUUCUGCCACCUCACCAGGCUGGAACCCAACACGGUGUCUGUGGCGAGAUUCUGGCUGGAGUCGUAAGAAAGAGUUCUAAGAACCUUUCAACAGGUUCAGGCAAAUUUUCUUUAGAGAACAAACUAAAGCAUCGUCCUAGAGUGACACGAAGCUGACAAAUUUGCAUCUCAAUCAGCCGGACACUGCUCAGGCUUUCACAAGUCUAAUUCAAUAAAUUCAAAAAUGGCCUAUCUGCUUCUCUGCAAUUCAGCCAUGCACCAAGUUUGAAAAUGUUAGACUGAAGCAGAAACCUUCACCCUAACUUCGCCAGGCACUCCCAGACGAGCCAAAUGCGGGGAUUUCUGGCCUGAAAGAAAACUGGUGAUGCAGACUCCAAGAAUCAAGGAGCAGUGUGACCAGAGAGAUAAGCUGUGUGGAAUCAGCAGCCUUCCCGCCCAGAACGUGGGCUCAGCAUGUUUGCCAGAUAAUAAGAAAAACCAAAAUUGGAGGCAGGAGCAAAAGUUCGGGAUAAGAAGUUGAUGUUCAACCCACAAUCCUGACCCUUCACCUUCACUUUGGUUUAGUGGAGUUACCUGUCAAGUCUGCCCAGGGCUUAAAACACCAACUCAGCACUGCGCUGGCACAAUCUCUGGGACUCCUCCCACUUAGACAGAGGAGGAAGCUGAGGUUGAGGCAGGAAUGAAAGGACCAGACCCAAUUCUGCCAAAACCAUACAAUCAAUUAAAUCCGUGGACAUUCUAUUAAAAAAAAA